rnacentral:rRNA from 1 species
CCUACGGGUGGCAGCAGUGGGGAAUAUUGCACAAUGGGGGAAACCCUGAUGCAGCGACGCCGCGUGAGUGAAGAAGUAUUUCGGUAUGUAAAGCUCUAUCAGCAGGGAAGAAAAUGACGGUACCUGUUUAAGAAGCCCCGGCUAACUACGUUCCAGCAGCCGCGGUAAUACGUAGGGGGCAAGCGUUAUCCGGAUUUACUGGGUGUAAAGGGGGCGUAGAGGGCAUGACAAGUCUGGAGUGAAAUGCCGGGGCUGAACCCCGGAACUGCUUUUGAAACUGUGCAGCUAGAGUGCAGGAGAGGUAAGUGGAAUUCCUAGUGUAGCGGUGAAAUGCGUAGAUAUUAGGAGGAACACCAGUGGCGAAGGCGGCUUACUGGACUGUAACUAACGUUGAGGCUCGAAAGUGUGGGGAGCAAACAGGAUUAGAUACCCUAGUAGUC